CACCGGGUUCAAGUCCCAGGUCGGGGCACUGGAUUCUGUCCAGGUUGCCCCUCUUCCAGGCCAGCUCUCUGCUCUGGCCUGGGAGUGCAGUGGAGGAUGGCCCGAGUGCUUGGGCCCUGCACCCGCAUGGGAGACCAGGCUCCUGGCUUCGGAUCAGUGCAGUGCACCGGCUACAGCGGCCAUUGGAGGGUGAACCAACGGUAAAGGAAGACCUUUCUCCCUGUCUCUCUCUCACUGUCCACUCUGCCUGUCAAAAAAAAAAUAGAAAAAGAAAAAUAGAAUUAGAAAAAAAAGACAUAUGCAGUUUAAGGAACCUUUGCACUGUGCCGAAAAUCAAACAUUUCUUGCAGUAAUACAGUGGGCCAACUCAUAAACUGUAAGUUAGCAGAGUUCUCAAUUUAACAUUUUCGAGGACAAUAUUAAGGUCAAGAAUUUCACAUCUGUGGUAGCACAUAUAGAGGGGCAUUAUAAAUGUGAUGUCCAUCCCUACGAAGCUUACAAAUUUGACAAUGCUCAAUAAAACCACAUCCAAUAGUUUCGCAUCCAAACAAUCACAAUUCUAUUUCUUUUGAUUCAGUCUUGGCAGGUUGUAAUUUUAUAGAAAUUUAAUCACUGGGGCCAGUUUUGUGGUGUAGUGGGCAAGGCUGCCUGUGAUGCCAGCAUCCCACAUGGGCUCUGGUUCAUGUCCUGGCCACUCCACUCUGAUCUAGCUCCCUGCUAAUGGCCUGGGGAAAGCAGUGGAAAAUGGCCCAAGUGUUUGGCCCCUGCUACCCAUGUGGGAGACCUGGAUGAAGCUCCUGGCUCCUGGCUUCAGCCUGGCCCAGAGCUGCUGUUGCAGCCAUCUUGGGGUGUGAACCAGAUGAUGGAAGAUCUCUUAUUCUCUCUCUCCCCCUUUUUCUCUGUAGCUCUUUCAAAAUAAAUAAAAUAAAUCUUUUUAAAAAAUAUAUUCAUUAUUUUUUAUGUUAUCCAAUCUUUUGUCUUAUAAUUGUUUAUAAUAGUCCCGUAUGAACCUUUCCACUUCUGAAGCAAGCUUUUCAAUGUCUCUUCUUUCAUUUUUUUAUUUUAUUUAAGUCUUUUUACUUUUUUAUUUGUUUGUGUGGCUAAGGACCUAUAUUCUCAAAACUCAACUCCAUAUGUGCUAAUUAUUUUCCUAUUUUUUUCUGUUCUCUGUUUAUGUUGACAUUUUAUUUCCUGCCUUCCACUGGAUUUAGUUUUUUCUUCUUCUAGUUCCCUGAGGUGUAAACUUAGGUUGCUUAUUUGAGAUCUUUAUUUCAAUAUAGGCGUCCCAUACGUUUUGGUAGUAUUUAUUUUUUAUUUCAUCCAGUGAGAGAUUUUUUUCAAUUCCAUUUUGAUCACCUCUUUUACCUAGUGGCUGCUCAUGUGCAAAUUAGUUUACAUAUGUUUGUGAAUUUCUUGCUCUUAUUGGUUUCCAGUUUCAUUUCAUUGUGGUCAGAAGAGAGACUUGGAAUGAUAUUAAUCUUCUUAAAUUAUUUUAUGAUCUAGCACAUGGUCUGUCCUGGAGAAUGUUCUGUGUGUACUUGAGAAGAAUGUGUAAAGAAUUAUACUGGUGAAAAUUUGCAUUAUAUUUAAGUCUAUUAGGUAUACAAUGUUGUCCAAGUCCAUUAUUUAUUGAUUUUUCAAUCUGGAUUUUCUGUUAUUUAAAGUGAGCUGUUGAAGUAUUCUAUUAUUAUAUUGCUAUCAAUUUCUUCAGUAAAGUAGAUCAAUAAUUGUCUUAUAUACUUGGGUGCUCUGAGGUUGGAUAUAAUAUAUAUAUGUUAUGUAUCAUUGUUAUAUAUCAUGUUGUAAAAAUGUAGUAUAAUGAUCUUUGUCUCUGGAGACAGUUUUUGAUUUAAAAUCUAUUUUGUCUGAUAUUGGUAUAGCCAACCCUGCUCUCUCUUGGUUCCUAUUUGCAUGGAAUAUCAUUUUCCAUUCCCUUACUUUUGGUUUAUGUGUAUCUUCUCAGGUGAAGUGAGUCUCUUGUAGGUAGCAUAUGCUUUGGUCUUGUGUUUGCUCCAUUCAACCAUUCUGUUUCUUGCAAUUAGAGAAUUUAAUAUAUUUACACUUGAGGUAAUUAUUAAGUACAGAUUUACUACUGGCACCCUCUUAUUUUCUAGUUGUUUUAUAGAUCCUUUCUCCCAUCUUACAGUUUUCCUUUGUGAUUGAUUUUUCUAAUAGUGAUUCUUUGCUUUUUAUUUUGGUGUAGGUGUAGGUUUUUGCUUUGCAGUUAUCUGGCUUAGCAGAAAAACACAGUGACAACAGGCUACUUUAAACUCACAACAACUCAACUUUGUAUAAAAAGAAAAUUCUGUUUUAAGUCUCCCCAUUUUGAAUUUUUGAUGUAACAAUUUAUAUUUUUUAAGGAUUUGUCUAUUUAAUCUAAAAGGCAGAGUUACAGAGAGAGAGAGAGAGAGAGAGAGAGAAGCUGAAAGAUCUCCAUCCCCUGGUUCACUCCCCACGUGGCUACGGCAGCCAGAGCUGGGCCAAUCCAAAGCCAGAAGCCAGGAGCUUCUUCUGAGUUUCCCAUGUGGCUUCAGGGACUGAAGCACUUGAGCCAUUCCCUGCUGCUUUCCCAGGCCAUGAGCAGGGAGCUGGGUUGGAAGUGGAGCAGCCGAGACUCGAACCAGCACCCACAGGGGAUGCCAAAGUCACAGGUGGAGGCCUACCAUGCCACAGCACCCGCCGCAACAGUUUACAAUUUUAUGUUGCAUAUCUUUUAAUUCUUUUAGUAAGUGUUGAUAGUUUGUCUUUUAAUCUUCAUACUAAAGAUAUGUAGCUUAUAUACCAUGAUUACAGUACCAUUCAGAGUAUUCUGAAUUUACUGUUUACUCCCUAUAGCCAUCGAGCUUUCAACAUUCAGAUGUUUGCAUGUUACUAAUUAGAAUACUUUCAGCGUGAACCCCUUUUUUGCAUUUCUUGUAAGAUGGGUCUGGAGGUGAUGAACUCUCUCUCCGCUUUUGUCUGUCUGGGAAAGCCUUAUCCCGCCCCUCAUUUCUGAAGGAUGGCUGUACUUGGUACAGUAUUCUCCAAUGAUAGUUUUUUCCUUCAGCAAUUUAAAUAUUCCAUCCUGCUUUUCCCUGGCCCGUAAGGUUUCUGCUGAGAAGCCUGUAGUCUGUUUCUAGGCUUAUGAGUGCUUCCUUAGAUGUCACCUGCUGCUUCUCCCUGUUGCUUUCAGGAUCCUGUCUUUAUAUGUGACUUUUGACAGUUUGAUUAGCGUAAGUCUUGGGGUAGUCUUAUCAGGAUUGAGUCUCAUUGGUGACAGUUGGUCUUGUACCUGGGUACCUGUCUUCAGAUUUGGAAAGUUUUAUGCUUUAAAUAAGUUUUCUACCCUUUGUGUUUCUCUCUUCCCUCUUGAACUUCAAUGAACUCAAAAUUUGCUCUUUAGAUGUUGUUCCACAGAUGGCAUAAGCUUUCUUCAUCACUUUUCGUACGUUUGCUUUUUGUUCCCAAUGGAAUCUGUGGCUUGGAACAGUCUGGUGAUCUCACUGACUUUUAUGCAGUCAGUGUGCUUUAUUAAACUUUUCAUUUCAUGCAUUGUUUCUCAGGUCCAAAAUGUGUUCAACAUUUCUGUCACAACCUCUAUGUUAAAUAUUUCUGCUUACAUUUUUGAAUUAUUCCCUAAGUUUGCUGAACUUCCUUAAACUAGCUGUUUUUGAAUUCUUGGUUGGGCAGAUCACACAUCUGCAUCUCUUUGGGGUCAAUCACUGGCACCUCUUUUGCUCAUUUGGUGAUGCCAUGUUUCUCUGACUGUUUUUUUUUUUUUAAACAUUUAUUUUAUUUAUUUGAAAGACAGAAUUACAGAGAGAGGUAGAGACAGGGAGAGAGGUCUUCCACUCACUGGUUCACUACCCAGAGGGCCAUAACGGCUGGAGCUGCACUGAUCCGAAGCCAGGAGCCAGGAGCUUCUUCCUGGUCUCCCAUGCGGGUGCAGGGGCCCAAGGACUUGGGCCAUCUUCUACUGUUUUCCCAGGCUGUAGCAGAGAGCUGGAUCAGAAGUGGAGCAGCCGGGACUCGAAUGGGUGCCCAUGUGGGAUGCUGGCACUUCAGGCCAGGGCUUUAACCUGCUGCACCACAGCACCGGCGCCUCUCUGAUUGUUCUUGAUCCUAGUGGUCAUGCAUCAUUGUCUCUGUACUGACAACGCUGGUAUUCAUACUGAUCUUUGCAUUCUGGCUUUUUCUGUUACAUCCUGUCGUAGCAGGUCUCGGAAUUCAGAGAAGAUUAUCUGUUGUGAUUCCCUAAACCCAGGCUUCAGACCUGUUAGUGGCUAGGUACCAGGAUGAUUGCCCACUUCAGGGCAGUGCCUCUGUUGCCAAGCACACAAGUUAACUUCAACUAGGUCUCUGUAAAGGUUCCUGUGGCUCACUGGUUGGGUGCCUUAGUGGCCAUACUUGAGUUGGUGGUUGUAGUGAGCUAUAACUGAGGUAAGGGCUGUUUCAGGUCCACAGCCAAGACAGUUCUCAGGCCCGUCUUCAGUGUCACAGACAGCUGUGUCUCCCAGCGGGUUUGGGAGUGAACAGGCCUUUUUUCAGACUGGAUUUUCGAAGGACUAGAGACCAUUUAUAGGGCUGUUGCAUUGAUUCACAAUGUAACAAGGGUCAGGCUGUGUGUCUAGGGGUUCUACUGGGUUUCUAGGUGGGUAGAACUGCUAUCAGCCAAUAGACAAACGGGGCCAGAGCCAAGUUUCAGGGGUGCUUGACGAAAUACUGGGGGCAGAGGUUGGCAAGCCUACCAAGGAGACUCGGCAGGCCAUGUCUCCUGGCAGGAACCUGGCUGGGUAGAAUUGAUGCAGGACCACAGCCAGCAGGAACUGAAACAGCUCCGGUGAUAAUACAGGAUCUGUUGUGGAACCAGUAUUGGCAAAUCCAAACUGAGGGCAGCAGUGUCCAUUUGGUCUUGGGUGUUAAGACCUCUGUUUCCUAGUUGGUUUUCUCUUUGUAUGUUUUAUUCAUUAUUGAAAGUGCAGUAUUGAAAUUUUGUAUUAUUGUUGGAGGAUUUUUUUCUCCUUUGAGUCCUGCCAAUGUUUCCUCUAUAUAUUUUUGUUCUCUUAUGUUGAGCUUACAUAUAUUUAUUUUUUCUAUUUGUAGUAAUUUGUCCCUUGUAUCAGUUUAUAACAUCCUUCUUUGUAUUUUGUGAUAGUUGUUGACUUAAAGUCUAUUUUGUCUGCUAUAAGUGUAGCUAUCUCUUGGUUGCCACUUGCAUGAAAUAUUUUUCCAUCCGUUCAUUUUCAGAUUAUGUGUGUCUUUAAAUCUAAAAUGAGUUUCUUGGCCGGCGCUGUGGCAUACUUGGCUAAUCCUCCGCCUGCAGCACCUGCACCCCCUGCACCCCAGGUUCUAGUCCCGGUUAGGGUGCCAGAUUCUGUCCCAGUUGCUCCUCUUCCAGUCCAGCUCUCUGCUGUGGCCCGGGAAGGCAGUGGAGGAUGGCCCAAGUGCUUGGGCCCUGCACCCGCAUGGGAGACCAGGAGGAAGCACCUGUCUCCUGGCUUUGGAUCGGCGCAGCCCAGCCACAGUGCACUGGCCGUAGCGGCCAUUUUGGGGGUGAAUCAAUGGAAAAGGAAAACCUUUCUCUCUCUGUCUCUCUCUCUCACUGUCUAACUCUGUCUGUCAAAAUAAAUAGAUAGAUAGAUAGAUAGAUAGAUAAAUAAAAUGAGUUUCUCACCGACAGCAUAUAGUUGGGUAAAUUUUGAUUCAUUUAACUACUUUGUCUUUUGAUUAGGGAGUUUAACAUAUGAACAUUUGAAGUGAUUAUUGAUAAGAAAGGAUUCAUUAUUAUUUUGUUCAUUGUUUUGUUAGCUUGUUACCUUAGUUUCUGAAGGAUUUAUUAAUUCUUAUUUUUUGUCCUCUAACCUGCUCUCAUAUUCUUACUUGUAACCCCCCAAGUUUUAACUAUGAUAUAGUCAUUUGUCAUUCAUAUUUUAUUAUCAAUUCCCUUGAAGGAAGCAUGUCUUUUGAGCCAUGUCACUUGGCUCCAGUGUAAUGUCUAGGAUAGAAUCUACUCAGUGAAAUAUUCUCGCAACCUGAGUGAGGUGCUUGUGUUUCUUCCCCACCAGCUUCCAUGGCUCAUCCCGAUGGUAGAUUGCCAUAGGGAAGAUCAUCCUCGGAGGAGUUCGGUCUGGUGGAGAUACAUAAGGGCUCCACAUCUGUGGGAAGUUGUAAGGGGAAGGGGAAAGCCAGGUUGCUUUUCCAGCUAGAACUUACUGAGGAAUUUUAUUGGAAAGAGUAUCUUUUCUGAUUGUUGUGAAGCAUGAAAACACUUCUAUAUAAUAUGCACUAUAUAAUAUAGCUAUGUAAUAUGCACUAUAUGGUAUGCACUAUAUAACAUGCACUAUAUAAUAUCACUAUAUGGUGUGCACUAUACAAUAUGCACUAUAUAACAUGCAUUAUAUAAUAUGCACUAUGUAACAUGCACUAUAUGGUAUGCACUAUAUAAUAUCACUAUAUGGUGUGCACUAUAUGAUAUGCACUAUAUAACAUGCAGAAAUUGCCAACAAUUACAAGGCAGCCUUGACUUUUUCUUCCUUUGUUCCUCUAGACCCAGCUGGAUGUGUGCCAUCCUCUCUAGUUGAGGCGACAGUGUGAGGAAAUGAUUUCCCUAAGUCUCAGCUAAAAAGAAAGGCAUUAAUAAAACAUUUAAUUUUUUUUUAUUUGACAGGUAGAGUUACAGACAGUGAGAGAGAGAGACAGAGAGAAAGGUCUUCCUUCUGUUGGUUCACUCCCCAAAUGGCCACCACAGCCGGAGCUAUUCCGAUCUGAAGCCAGGAGCCAGGUGCUUCUCCUGGUCUCCCAUGCAGGUUCAGGGCCCAAGCACUUGGGCCAUCUUCCACUGCACUCCUGGGCCACAGCAGAGAGCUGGACUGGAAGAGGAGCAACCAAGACUAGAACCGGUGCCCAUGUGGGAUGCCGGCACCGCAGGCAGAGGAUUAAUCAAGUGAGCCACAGCGCCGGCCCCACAUUUAAAUUUUUUUAAAGACAAAAAUUUCCGAAUAUGUUUUCCUGUGCAUAGCCAGGAGGGAGAACCCGGAGGGGAGAACGAGACUUUCCUGUGAACCUCACUUCUUGUGAGGCCGCUGUCCCUUACACCCAAAAAAGAGAGUUCAGGUGUCAGCAUGUGCAGUUACAAAGUGCAGCUGUGCCACAUGAAUUUGGUGAAAUACAGAACCCAAAAAGUGGGCUUUUUCAAGGCCAGUGUGUUGACUUAGGACAAGCCCCACCUGGAACCUUACCCCGUGAGACAUACACAAGCAUCCUGAACUGUUGUGCCUGUCGCUUGCUCUGGGAUGACGGAGAAGUGUUGAAGUUCGUGUGGCGUAACUAGAAGGGACUCUGUCUUUCCAGUAAGGCAAGGCCCACUCAUGGCGCUUAGUGGUCACCUAGGACUUCUCGAUGGCUUUUGCUUAUAGUUGCUGAAAUACUAUGCCUUUCACUAGAAGAAAGCAAAUGGGCCAAACAUUUCAGUCUCCAAAGAAACCUUAGGCAAAGGGAACCUCAAGGAGAGACUACCGUUUGCUAUUCUCACGCCAGAGACACAUUUGCUGAGGAGGAGAGCAGCCAAAUGGCUGACGUCUAGGCAUUUCUGGAGGGAUGCUCACUGCUCCACGUCAGUGGCGGUAGUGCUCAGACAGUCUGAGUGAAGGUGAGAAGUGUCUUCCUAAAAGUGUGUGCUGUUGUCCUGGGAUGCCUCCCUAGAAGGGCUCGGCCUCCAAGCGUCCCUGCCCUCUGAAUGAUGGCGAGAACACAAGUAUCCUGUAGCACAGCCAUGGUGGUAUACUUCCUCCCAUUGUACCACAUAUGCUGUGGGCUCUGUGUCCCAGGUGCUCUGAGCGUAGUGUGUCCAGUCAGACAGGGUGCUAUCCCCUCAAACAGCACAGGUGGACAGGGCGCUACCCCUCAAACAGCACAGGUGGACAGGGCGCCACCCCUCAAACAGCACAGGCGGACAUGAGGUGUCUCCUGGAGCACAGGGACAGAAGCGUCUCUCUGACGAAUGUCUCCUGAGUGGUGAAGGACCCUCCGAUAGUAACAGAUUUGCUCAAACCAGAUGGACCCCCAAGUGCUCCAACCAUUCCACAUGUGGGUAGCGUUGGCCCCUUCCAUUGCAACACAUGUGCUCUGGACCCAAGGGACCCAGGUGCUCUGACUGUAGGUGAGAACACGAGGAUCUCCAAGCACAGGUGUGUUGGACUACAACGUACUCUCCCAGUGUACUCUGGCAAGGCGUUCCCUAUGUAGCCUGCCCCUAGGCAUGAAGCAUUUCUAGAGAGGUCUGAUGCUGGCCUCUCUCACUGCCCCAGAUGCGCUUUGGCACAGGCGCUGGCUGCUCUAAACGCAGAGUGUUCCUCGUCAGUGCCGCUGCUUAGCAAUGCCCAGUAGUAGUGGUAUGUUUUGGCCCAGCUGGCAGCAGGUCCUUUGGCUACAGACAGGAAAGAUAGUGUCCUGGGGGCAGAUUUGCUUUCAGCAGUGCUGGUCUCCAGUUGCAACAGGGGUGGGUGCUAUAGACCCACAGGACCGCAGUGCCCGGGGCUGUCAUGAGCUGCGUUGCUGGGUGUCCCACUUCGCCUUGCUCCAAAGCUGCCUGCUCCAGACGUGGAGCUGCAGCCCACGCCAGACACAAUGACCCCAAAGCUGCAGCUUACCCAGAGGGCUGCAGAUCCCACAAAUGCAAAUUGGCCUGGAUUAGUGUUGCAAAAGGUGGGCAAUAGGCCUCAGAGUUGUGUAUGUCAGUGGGAUGCGUGGCAUGAAAGAGUGACCGCACCAGUGAAAAAUCGGCCCCGGUGUCACCAAAGGCUGGCUGGGUGCUGACAGGGAUACCACAGGUGGAAUGUGAGAGCAUCGAUGGGCACCUAUGCUGUCACCGGGUCCGUGGACUGCAGUGGGGGUGAGGCCGGGCACUUCUGCUGAGCCUGUAAGGUUUCCCAAAGGGAAAGAAUUGAUAAAGAUGUCAGAGGGAGACUCAAAGACAACUUGCUAGGUUCCGGUGUGGUGUCCCUAGCGAUGUCAUCAGAGUCAAAGCCAAGUUUGGCCACCUGUCUGAAGAGCGGCUGCCUACUCGAGUGAAGGCGACUGUGGAAUCCCUGGCAGGUGGGCCAGAAAACAGGACACCGGGCGGAGUAGCUCUCCGUUGCUGUCCGUCAGGACCCCAGGAUUUCAGCUGAGGGGUGGUUCCUGGUUCAAAGGGGAGGUUUUAAAAUUGGCUGGAGCAGCUGAGCAUGGAAGCAGGUGGAGUGGUGGAGACGUGGCCUUGGUACGGGAGUGUCUGCUCCGGCUGGCCCUGGCGGAUGAGGGGAAGCUCACACGGGGUCACCGUGGAGCCAGGAAGAUAGAGUGGUGUCUGCGCCAGUUAUAACGCAGUCUGCAGCUGGACUGCCUGGGAUGGUGGAAGCGAGUGCGGAAGCCAUGACGGGCCGGCCGGGGAGACAGGGCUACAGGUGGAGGGGGCUUGAGGAGGGCUCUGUGGGUCCCCAUAGGAAAAGAAGGAGGAGGCCGAGUGGCCCUGCUCUCUGAAGAGGCCUCGGUGUCCUCAGCCACUUUGUGGUUCCAUUAAGGCUCAGUGUUCUCUCCCAAGCCUAGGUCUUCUUCAGUGACCAUACAAAGGCGGGUGGUGCAGCCAGCUCUCUCCAGGGCGGCAACAGGGGCAGCUGAAGCAUCAGCAGAGGCCUUGGAGGCCUCUCCGUACAGAGCCCGCAGCUGGCAGACGUGAGCAGAGGCGGCCUCUCUGCCAGGGUAUCUGAAAGCUCUCCUCUCUGGCCCUCCUUCUUUGACCCCGAGGAAGCUGGGAGCUGAGUUGAGGAAUGGCUUACCUGUGGGGCUCUUCCUGUCUCCGGUAGCAGGAAGGAGACUAUGUCCUGCUGUCGAGAGACCCUAACCCAGUGGGCAGGGCUGUAAGAGCUGGUGACAGCUUGGCCUUUGGCGAAUGAGCUUCCUAGAAGACGUCUGGGAUAUCUUGCCUCAGCUGCCUUCUGGGUCCGUGGAGUAGAGUUUCCAACUCAGAGAGGCAGGACCUGCGCCCAGAUAUGUGAUGACUGCAGUUGUCCCCAGGGGCCUAGAUGCUGGAGGGACACUCCACUGCCCUGGGGGCUCCUCUCCUGACAGCCCUGCCUUGCGGAUACUGUUUGGUCGCCUUCCUCCUCUGACCCCUCUGCUUCGUGCUUCUAGUGGCUUCAUCUCAGUCUCCUGAUCUGGCAGGGGAUUGGCUGUUGCACAGGUGACUGGCUGACCAAGUGACAAAGGGAAAGCGUCCGUUUGUGCCUUGGAGGAGGGAUCACUACCAACCCAGGGUGGUUAGAGACUUUGAGAUAUAGGCAGAGAGGAUCAGUAAGCUUCCCGAUGGGACUGUCACCUCUAUAGUGUUGCGUAACACUGGUGGGGUGAGGCACACUUCAGUGAAGCUGCCGGGGGUAAAGCCAGCCGGGCGACUCCAGCCACAAGAGGGUCAGUUGACAAGGUGUGCUACUCUGUGGGUGGGGUCCGGGGACUUAAGGGGGGAGCGGGCCGAGGCCUUCGCCCUCAAAGGGCUGGUUGUAUGCUGUUGGAUCCUGGGAGCAUAGUAGGAAAUGGCUCCUCCACAGUGGACAACACACCGAUCAGCUUGAUGCAUGUGGAACACAGGACGAACAGAGCACAGGCUAGUGGUCCACCAGUGAGAGACACAAACACAGAAGUGCCGGAGGACAGGGGGUAAGGCCCAGAAUCUGAACCUCGUCAGGGAUUUCUCGUGCUUCCUGACUUUCCCACCCCCGGGCGCAGGCAGUUGGCACCAGACAGUCUUGGCGGUCACAACAGGACUGUUCCAGACCGUGAAGUCCAGGAGCUGCGUAACUGUCACCCCCAGGACGUCACAGCUGCAGGAUCCUCAGGGCAGCCUGUGGUUGGGUGUCAGCCAGCUCUAGAAGAUAGUGCCAAGUCAAAGCCAGGCCAGGAGAGCAACCUGGAUCUGGCCAGGAAGGGGACUCGGCUGCAGGAGGUCAGGGUAGGACACAGGUGCACUGGGGAGACCAGGGGCUGGCCCUGCCUCGUGUGUUACUGUGUCCCCACGUGACACGGCAGUGACCGGGCCUCCUCAACCACACCCACACAACAGCGGCACUAGCAGCAGCCAUGGCAGUAAGAGUGGCAUUGAAGAUGCCUGUGUGUGUACAGGGCCUGCCACCAGCGAAUGUGAGUGGAGAAUUUCCCCGUGAGGGACUGCUGGAAGCCUUCCUGCUGUCCUCUCUGACUUUAAUGAGGCUGCAGAGCCGAGUUUCUCUCGGCCUCUUCCUGUCACGCAACCACCACCAAUGACACAGGCGAGCCCCCGCCUCCUGCAUUCUGGUAGCCCAAGGCCAAGGCUCAGAACACUGGCUCCCUUGGAGACGCCCCUAGCUCCUCUGUACUUCCUAGAGUCAGCACACGCCUUCCUGGAAAGGCCCAGUGUGCCCAGCAUUGCUGGCUGGACCACGCAGGCUUCUGAGGUAGAGACCUGGAUACUGCAUCACACCCUUUCCAGGCUGUCUGACUCCAGAGCUCAUGCAUUUUGCCAGCAGAUUUGGUGCCUGUUCACCACACAGCCUUCACGUUUCACUGUUUUUUUGAUCAUCCUUAAUGCUACUUACAAAUAAUGAACACAGGAGGAGGUCAUCUUUGGUUCACACUGGGCUCCAAGAUCAUCCAAACACAAGGGCAGGGACCACCAACUGUCAGUCCAUCUGAAUCAGGGAUUUCUCCUCCAUAUGAGCUGAGUAGACUCAUAGCUGUUAGCAAUCAUCUCUCAGGGGUAAGGACUCCAGAUGCACAUCAGAUGGGUGCUGAAUUGAACCAGACUUAGAAUCAUUAUGACUCAACACCAAAAACUCUUUUAGGAUCCCAAGGAUCAGUGUUUGGUGUCCUAGCUGAAACAACUACCAAUACUGGCUUUUCCAGUCCAUGAGCAUGGUAUAACUUUUCCUGUAUUGUGGUCUUUAUGAAGUUUUUUUCCUCUCAGGUUCCUCUCAGGUUGUUACAAAACCUUUGUAACAAGGUUUCACCAAUCAUAGACCAAAGAUAAAAUUUAGCCCACAGCUUAUUCUUGUAAUGCUGAUGAGAUUAGAAUGGUGUUAACAUUUCUCUAAUGUUGUGAAAACAGAAGAAUGUAUGACAGAGACCACACUUAACCUGCAAAGCUGAUAAUAUUUCCCAACUGACCCUUUGUGAGAAAAGUUUGGCAAGCCCUCUUUGGUAGUUUUUGGUGCCUAGGUUUUGUACAGCAUUUGCUAAUUUAUCCCUAGAUAUUUUACAAGUGCUUUUACCCUAUAGUAAGUGAUAUCUUUUAAAUUUCAAUUUUCAGUUGUUUACUGGUAGCAUAUAGAAUAUAUAAUUGGUUUUUAUGUACUGACCUUGCAUGCUGGAGACUUACCAGCUUCCUGCUGCACUUCUGGUAGUUUCUUUAUAGAUUUCUUGGGAUUAUUUUACAUACAUAUUCAUGUUCCCUUUGAAUAAAGAGUGUUUUACAUCUU